AACGCGAAGAACCUUACCCAGAUUUGAAAUGAAGUAGACAGCAGCAGAGAUGUUGUUUCCCGCAAGGGCUAUUUUAUAGGUGCUGCAUGGCUGUCGUCAGCUCGUGCCGUGAGGUGUUGGGUUAAGUCCCGCAACGAGCGCAACCCUUAUUGUUAGUUGCCAUCGCGUGAAGGCGGGCACUCUAGCGAGACUGCCUAGGUUAACUAGGAGGAAGGUGAGGAUGACGUCAAGUCAGCAUGGCCUUUAUGUCUGGGGCUACACACGUGCUACAAUGGCCGGUACAGAAGGCAGCGAAGUCGCGAGAUGGAGCAAAUCCCCCAAAGCCGGUCUCAGUUCAGAUUGUAGUCUGCAACUCGACUACAUGAAGUUGGAAUUGCUAGUAAUGACGUGUCAGCUACAACGUCGUGAAUACGUUCCCGGGCCUUGUACACACCGCUGUA
rnacentral:rRNA from 1 species